UUAAUAAGUAGAUCUACUUCUUAAUCAACAUGAAGGAUGAAGACACCUCUCUUGAAUAAGAUUCACAACAUUAUUGAUUUCAAUCUUAAAUGGUUACAAUGAAGAUUUGAUGGUCUAUUUAUAGGGUAAGCCAUGUGAAUAAAAAGGUAACAAAAAUAUCCUCAUUUAAAACUACAAUUACUUAGGAAAUUAAUUAAAAUUAAAGUCUAAAUUCCUAACUAAGU
rnacentral:lncRNA from 1 species